rnacentral:rRNA from 1 species
UUCCGGUUGAUCCUGCCGGAGGUUACUGCUAUCGGUGUUCGCCUAAGCCAUGCGAGUCAUAUGUAGCAAUACAUGGCGUACUGCUCAGUAACACGUGGAUAACCUGCCCUUGGGUCCGGCAUAACCCCGGGAAACUGGGGAUAAUUCCGGAUAACGCACAUAUGCUGGAAUGCUUUAUGCGUCAAAUGGAUUCGUCUGCCCAAGGAUGGGUCUGCGGCCUAUCAGGUAGUAGUGGGUGUAAUGUACCUACUAGCCGACAACGGGUACGGGUUGUGAGAGCAAGAGCCCGGAGAUGGAUUCUGAGACAUGAAUCCAGGCCCUACGGGGCGCAGCAGGCGCGAAAACUUUACAAUGCGGGAAACCGUGAUAAGGGGACACCGAGUGUCAGCAUCAUAUGCUGGCUGUCCAGGUGUGUAAAAUACACCUGUUAGCAAGGGCCGGGCAAGACCGGUGCCAGCCGCCGCGGUAACACCGGCGGCCCGAGUGGUGAUCGUGAUUAUUGGGUCUAAAGGGUCCGUAGCCGGUUUGGUCAGUCCUCCGGGAAAUCUGAUAGCUCAACUAUUAGGCUAUCGGGGGAUACUGCCAGGCUUGGAACCGGGAGAGGUAAGAGGUACUACAGGGGUAGGAGUGAAAUCUUGUAAUCCCUGUGGGACCACCUGUGGCGAAGGCGUCUUACCAGAACGGGUUCGACGGUGAGGGACGAAAGCUGGGGGCACGAACCGGAUUAGAUACCCGGGUAGUCCCAGCCGUAAACGAUGCUCGCUAGGUGUCAGGCAUGGCGCGACCGUGUCUGGUGCCGCAGGGAAGCCGUGAAGCGAGCCACCUGGGAAGUACGGCCGCAAGGCUGAAACUUAAAGGAAUUGGCGGGGGAGCAC